rnacentral:rRNA from 1 species
GCCAUGCAAGUCGAACGGCAGCACGGACUUCGGUCUGGUGGCGAGUGGCGAACGGGUGAGUAAUGUAUCGGAACGUACCAUUCAGUGGGGGAUAACGUAGCGAAAGUUACGCUAAUACCGCAUAUUCUCUCCGGAGGAAAGCAGGGGACCGCAAGGCCUUGCGCUGAUUGAGCGGCCGAUAUCAGAUUAGCUAGUUGGUGGGGUAACGGCUCACCAAGGCGACGAUCUGUAGCGGGUCUGAGAGGAUGAUCCGCCACACUGGAACUGAGACACGGUCCAGACUCCUACGGGAGGCAGCAGUGGGGAAUUUUGGACAAUGGGCGCAAGCCUGAUCCAGCCAUGCCGCGUGAGUGAAGAAGGCCUUCGGGUUGUAAAGCUCUUUCGGCCGGGAAAAAAUCCCAUGGGCUAAUACCCUGUGUGGAUGAUGGUACCGGAAUAAGAAGCACCGGCUAACUACGUGCCAGCAGCCGCGGUAAUACGUAGGGUGCGAGCGUUAAUCGGAAUUACUGGGCGUAAAGCGUGCGCAGGCGGUUUUGUAAGACAGGCGUGAAAUCCCCGGGCUCAACCUGGGAACUGCGCUUGUGACUGCAAGGCUAGAGUAUGGCAGAGGGGGGUGGAAUUCCACGUGUAGCAGUGAAAUGCGUAGAGAUGUGGAGGAACACCGAUGGCGAAGGCAGCCCCCUGGGCCAAUACUGACGCUCAUGCACGAAAGCGUGGGUAGCAAACAGGAUUAGAUACCCUGUAGUCCACGCCCUAAACGAUGUCAACUAGGUGUUGGUGGGUAAAACCAUUUAGUACCGGAGCUAACGCGUGAAGUUGACCGCCUGGGAGUACGCCGCAAGUAAAACUCAAAGGAAUUGACGGGACCCGCACAAGCGGUGAUGAUGUGGAUUAAUUCGAUGCAACGCGAAAACCUUA